rnacentral:rRNA from 1 species
GAUGAACGCUAGCGACAGGCCUAACACAUGCAAGUCGAGGGGCAGCAUGAAAUUAGCUUGCUAAUUUUGAUGGCGACCGGCGCACGGGUGAGUAACACGUAUGCAACCUGCCUGUAGGCGGGGGAUAACCCGGAGAAAUCCGGACUAAUACCGCCUAGUAACACAAUUUCGCAUGUUAUUGUGAUUAAAGAUUAAUUGCUUAAAGAUGGGCAUGCGUUUGAUUAGCCAGUUGGCGGGGGAACGGCCCACCAAGGCAACGAUCAGGAGGGGUCCGGAGAGGAAGGUCCCCCACAUUGGAACUAAGACACGGUCCAAACUCCUACGGGAGGCAGCAGUGAGUAAUAUUGGUCAAUGGACGAGAAUCUGAACCAGCCAUGUCGCGUGAAGGAAGACUGUCCUAUGGAUUGUAAACUUCUUUUAUAUGGGAAUAAAGUGUGAAACGUGUUUCUUUUUGUAUGUACCAUAUGAAUAAGCAUCGGCUAACUCCGUGCCAGCAGCCGCCGUAAAAC